AAGUCGAGCGCACUGGCCCAACUGAUCUGACGUGCUUGCGCUGAAGUGACGACCGAUUACCAGUGAGCGGCGGACGGGUGAGCAACACGUGGGCAACCUGCCCUGAAGCGGGGGAUAACAUUUGGAAACAGGUGCUAAUACCGCAUAACAACGAAAACCACAUGGUUUUCGUUUCAAAGAUGGUUUCGGCUAUCACUUCAGGAUGGGCCCGCGGUGCAUUAGCUUGUUGGUAGGGUAACGGCCUACCAAGGCAAUGAUGCAUAGCCGAGUUGAGAGACUGAUCGGCCACAAUGGAACUGAGACACGGUCCAUACUCCUACGGGAGGCAGCAGUAGGGAAUCUUCCACAAUGGGCGCAAGCCUGAUGGAGCGACACCGCGUGAGUGAAGAAGGGUUUCGGCUCGUAAAGCUCUGUUGUUGAAGAAGAACGUGCGUGAGAGCAACUGUUCACGCAGUGACGGUAUUCAACCAGAAAGUCACGGCUAACUACGUGCCAGCAGCCGCGGUAAUACGUAGGUGGCAAGCGUUAUCCGGAUUUAUUGGGCGUAAAGCGAGCGCAGGCGGUUGCUUAAGUCUGAUGUGAAAGCCUUCGGCUUAACCGAAGAAGUGCAUCGGAAACUGAGCGACUUGAGUGCAGAAGAGGACAGUGGAACUCCAUGUGUAGCGGUGGAAUGCGUAGAUAUAUGGAAGAACACCAGUGGCGAAGGCGGCUGUCUGGUCUGCAACUGACGCUGAGGCUCGAAAGCAUGGGUAGCGAACAGGAUUAGAUACCCUGGUAGUCCAUGCCGUAAACAAUG
rnacentral:rRNA from 1 species